rnacentral:rRNA from 1 species
UACGUAGGGGGCAAGCGUUACCCGGAUUUAUUGGGCAUAAAGGGCGUGUAGGCGGUAAUUUAAGUCAGAUGUAAAAACCCUAGGCUCAACCUAGGUCUGCAUUUGAUACUGAUUUACUAGAGGUUAGGAGAGGAAAGUAGAACUCAUAGUGUAGCGGUGACAUGCGUAGAUAUUAUGAGGAAUACCAGUUGCGAAGGCGGCUUUCUGGCCUGAAUCUGACGCUGAGGCGCGAAAGCGUGGGGAGC